rnacentral:vault_RNA from 1 species
GGACUGGCUUUAGCUCAGCGGUUACUUCAGCGGACCACGGACUUUGCUGUGUAACCGUCCUUGAUGGUUCGAGACCCGCGGGUGCUCUCCAGUCCUUUU